rnacentral:lncRNA from 1 species
GGCACUAAAUAUCAGGGAGUAGAAACUCCUUCUCAGGUGUUGGAACAGGCGAUGGAUAUGAUCUAAAAGUCCAAAUAGUAAUGAAGAAAAAGAUUGUCUUUUCCUGCACUUCCUUAAACAGUUGUCGGGUAUUUCAUGACACUGAAACAGACAGGGUAAUAAUUGAUGUGUUCAACUGUCCACCUCUGUAUGAUGAUGUGAAAGUGCAAGCUUCCUCUUCGGCUUUAUCUACAAAGAAAUGAAUUGGAUAAUCUUCAUAAACAAAAAACUGGAAAAUUUAUCAACCAGAAUAUGCAGUAGAGACAUAUUUUGAUGAGAAAUGACUUAAGUUAUGUUGUAACUGGUAGCUGAUUAAGUAUAGUUCCCUGCACCCCUUCUGGGAAAGAAUUAUGUUCUUUCUAACCCUGCCACAUAGUUAUAUGUUCUAAAUCUUCCUUGCUGGUACAUCUAUAUUGAUAUAUGUAUACACAUG